AACGAACGCUGGCGGCAUGCCUAACACAUGCAAGUCGAACGAGACCUUCGGGUCUAGUGGCGCACGGGUGCGUAACGCGUGGGAACCUGCCCUUAGGUUCGGAAUAACUCCCCGAAAGGGGUGCUAAUACCGGAUAAUGUCUUCGGACCAAAGAUUUAUCGCCUUUGGGUGGGCCCGCGUUGGAUUAGCUAGUUGGUAGGGUAAAAGCCUACCAAGGCGACGAUCCAUAGCUGGUCUGAGAGGAUGAUCAGCCACACUGGGACUGAGACACGGCCCAGACCCCGAGGGGGGGCGGAGGGGGGGAUUAUUGAAAAAGGGGGGAAGGCUGGACCCCGCAUUGCCGCGGGAGGAAAGAGGCCCUUGGGGUUGAAAACCUUUUUUCCCCGGGAGGAAAAUGACAGUCCGGGGAAAAAAAGCCCCGCCUACCCCCGUC
rnacentral:rRNA from 1 species